rnacentral:rRNA from 1 species
AACGCUAGCUACAGGCUUAACACAUGCAAGUCGACGUGCAGGAUGGUCUUAGCUUGCUAAGGCCGAUGGCGACCGGCGCACGGGUGAGUAACACGUAUCCAACCUGCCGUCUACUCUUGGACAGCCUUCUGAAAGGAAGAUUAAUACAAGAUGGCAUCAUGAGUCCGCAUGUUCACAUGAUUAAAGGUAUUCCGGUAGACGAUGGGGAUGCGUUCCAUUAGAUAGUAGGCGGGGUAACGGCCCACCUAGUCUUCGAUGGAUGGGGGUUCUGAGAGGAAGGUCCCCCACAUUGGAACUGAGACACGGUCCAAACUCCUACGGGAGGCAGCAGUGAGGAAUAUUGGUCAAUGGGCGAGAGCCUGAACCAGCCAAGUAGCGUGAAGGAUGACUGCCCUAUGGGUUGUAAACUUCUUUUAUAAAGGAAUAAAGUCGGGUAUGGAUACCCGUUUGCAUGUACUUUAUGAAUAAGGAUCGGCUAACUCCGUGCCAGCAGCCGCGGUAACACGGAGGAUCCGAGCGUUAUCCGGAUUUAUUGGGUUUAGAGGGAGCGCAGAUGGAUGUUUAAGUCAGUUGGAAAAGUUUGCGGCUCAACCGUAAAAUUGCAGUUGAUACUGGAUAUCUUGAGUGCAGUUGAGGCAGGCGGAAUUCGUGGUGUAGCGGUGAAAUGCUUAGAUAUCACGAAGAACUCCGAUUGCGAAGGCAGCCUGCUAAGCUGCAACUGACAUUGAGGCUCGAAAGUGUGGGUAUCAAACAGGAUUAGAUACCCUGGUAGUCCACACGGUAAACGAUGAAUACUCGCUGUUUGCGAUAUACAGCAAGCGGCCAAGCGAAAGCGUUAAGUAUUCCACCUGGGGAGUACGCCGGCAACGGUGAAACUCAAAGGAAUUGACGGGGGCCCGCACAAGCGGAGGAACAUGUGGUUUAAUUCGAUGAUACGCGAGGAACCCUACCCGGGCUUAAAUUGCAGAUGAAUUACGGUGAAAGCCGUAAGCCGCAAGGCAUCUGUGAAGGUGCUGCAUGGUUGUCGUCAGCUCGUGCCGUGAGGUGUCGGCUUAAGUGCCAUAACGAGCGCAACCCUUGUUGUCAGUUACUAACAGGUUCCGCUGAGGACUCUGACAAGACUGCCAUCGUAAGAUGUGAGGAAGGUGGGGAUGACGUCAAAUCAGCACGGCCCUUACGUCCGGGGCUACACACGUGUUACAAUGGGGGGUACAGAGGGCCGCUACCACGCGAGUGGAUGCCAAUCCCCAAAACCUCUCUCAGUUCGGACUGGAGUCUGCAACCCGACUCCACGAAGCUGGAUUCGCUAGUAAUCGCGCAUCAGCCACGGCGCGGUGAAUACGUUCCCGGGCCUUGUACACACCGCCCGUCAAGCCAUGGGAGCCGGGGGUACCUAAAGUGCGUAACCGCGAGGAGCGCCCUAGGG